rnacentral:rRNA from 1 species
AUGCACGCUGGCGGCGUGCCUCAUCCCUGCAAGUCGAGCGCACAGACGAGGAGCUUGCUCCUCUGACGUUAGCGGCGGACGGGUGAGUAACACGUGGAUAACCUACCUAUAAGACUGGGAUAACUUCGGGAAACCGGAGCUAAUACCGGAUAAUAUAUUGAACCGCAUGGUUCAAUAGUGAAAGACGGUUUUGCUGUCACUUAUAGAUGGAUCCUCGCCGCAUUAGCUAGUUGGUAAGGUAACGGCUUACCAAGGCGACGAUGCGUAGCCGACCUGAGAGGGUGAUCGGCCACACUGGAACUGAGACACGGUCCAGACUCCUACGGGAGGCAGCAGUAGGGAAUCUUCCGCAAUGGGCGAAAGCCUGACGGAGCAACGCCGCGUGAGUGAUGAAGGUCUUCGGAUCGUAAAACUCUGUUAUUAGGGAAGAACAAAUGUGUAAGUAACUAUGCACGUCUUGACGGUACCUAAUCAGAAAGCCACGGCUAACUACGUG